GACGAACGCUGGCGGUGUGCUUAACACAUGCAAGUCGAACGGUAAGGCCCUUUCGGGGGUACACGAGUGGCGAACGGGUGAGUAACACGUGAGUAACCUGCCCUCAUCUCUGGGAUAACAGUCGGAAACGGUUGCUAAUACUGGAUAUGAGCUUGCAAGGCAUCUUGUGGGUUGGAAAGAUUUUUUUGGUUGGGGAUGGACUCGCGGCCUAUCAGCUUGUUGGUGAGGUAGUGGCUCACCAAGGCUUCGACGGGUAGCCGGCCUGAGAGGGCGACCGGCCACAUUGGGACUGAGAUACGGCCCAAACUCCUACGGGAGGCAGCAGUGGGGAAUAUUGCACAAUGGACGGAAGUCUGAUGCAGCAACGCCGCGUGCGGGAUGACGGCCUUCGGGUUGUAAACCGCUUUCAAUUGUGACGAAGCUUUUUUGUGACGGUAGCAGUAGAAGAAGCACCGGCUAACUACGUGCCAGCAGCCGCGGUGAUACGUAGGGUGCGAGCGUUGUCCGGAUUUAUUGGGCGUAAAGAGCUUGUAGGCGGUUUGUCGCGUCGGGAGUGAAAACUUGGGGCUUAACCCUGAGCUUGCUUUCGAUACGGGCUGACUUGAGGGAGGUAGGGGAGAAUGGAAUUCCUGGUGGAGCGGUGGAAUGCGCAGAUAUCAGGAGGAACACCGGUGGCGAAGGCGGUUCUCUGGACCCUUCCUGACGCUGAGAAGCGAAAGCGUGGGGAGCGAACAGGCUUAGAUACCCUGGUAGUCCACGCCGUAAACGGUGGGUACUAGGUGUGGGGGACAUUCCACGUUCUCCGUGCCGUAGCUAACGCAUUAAGUACCCCGCCUGGGGAGUACGGCCGCAAGGCUAAAACUCAAAGGAAUUGACGGGGCCCCGCACAAGCGGCGGAGCAUGCGGAUUAAUUCGAUGCAACGCGAAGAACCUUACCUGGGUUUGACAUAUGCCGGAAGCGUUCAGAGAUGGGCGUGCCUUUUUGGUCGGUUUACAGGUGGUGCAUGGCUGUCGUCAGCUCGUGUCGUGAGAUGUUGGGUUAAGUCCCGCAACGAGCGCAACCCUCGUCCAAUGUUGCCAGCGGGUUAUGCCGGGGACUCAUUGGAGACCGCCGGGGUCAACUCGGAGGAAGGUGGGGAUGACGUCAAGUCAUCAUGCCCCUUAUGUCCAGGGCUUCACGCAUGCUACAAUGGCCGGUACAAAGAGCUGCGAGCCUGUGAGGGUGAGCGAAUCUCGGAAAGCCGGUCUCAGUUCGGAUUGGGGUCUGCAACUCGACCCCAUGAAGUCGGAGUCGCUAGUAAUCGCAGAUCAGCAACGCUGCGGUGAAUACGUUCCCGGG
rnacentral:rRNA from 1 species